UUUAAGUGAAGUUUUCGGAUGGAUCUUAAAUUGACUGAGCGGCGGACGGGUGAGUAACGCGUGGAUAACCUGCCUCACACAGGGGGAUAACAGUUAGAAAUGACUGCUAAUACCGCAUAAGCGCACGGUACCGCAUGGUACAGUGUGAAAAACUCCGGUGGUGUGAGAUGGAUCCGCGUCUGAUUAGGUAGUUGGUGAGGUAACGGCCCACCAAGCCGACGAUCAGUAGCCGACCUGAGAGGGUGACCGGCCACAUUGGGACUGAGACACGGCCCAAACUCCUACGGGAGGCAGCAGUGGGGGAUAUUGCACAAUGGGCGAAAGCCUGAUGCAGCAACGCCGCGUGAGUGAAGAAGUAUCUCGGUAUGUAAAGCUCUAUCAGCAGGGAAGAAAAUGACGGUACCUGACUAAGAGGCCCCGGCUAACUACGUGCCAGCAGCCGCGGUAAUACGUAGGGGGCAAGCGUUAUCCGGAUUUACUGGGUGUAAAGGGAGCGCAGACGGCACUGCAAGUCUGAAGUGAAAGCCCGGGGCUCAACCCCGGGACUGCUUUGGAAACUGUAGAGCUAGAGUGCUGGAGAGGCAAGCGGAAUUCCUAGUGUAGCGGUGAAAUGCGUAGAUAUUAGGAAGAACACCAGUGGCG
rnacentral:rRNA from 1 species